UCAUCUCAUCCUAAGAUUACUACCCUAGCCUUGUGCUAGUAGUAGUCGUGUUUGCUGAAGAGAUUUGGGUUACGAGUACCGAAGACGCAAAACAACAUUUACAGACAUUACAGACAUUUAUUUACAUGGUAUGGGAAUUAGUAAAUGGAUCUGGCGGGCGUUGGAGUUUUUAAGCUGCGUUGUGAAUAAAGAUGUCAUCCAAGUCAUUAGGGCUUAGGAGGCGUAUCUUAAUCCUGGACGAG
rnacentral:lncRNA from 1 species